rnacentral:rRNA from 1 species
UACGGUCAAAUCACGCUGAAACACCGGUUCUCGUACGAUCACCGAAGUUAAGCAUCGUAGAGCCAGGUCAGUACUUAGAUGGGGGACCGCUUGGGAACACCUGGUACUGUAAG